UACGUAGGGAUCGAGCGUUGUCCGGAUUCAUUGGGCGUAAAGAGCUCGUAGGCGGCCACUCAAGUCGAAUGUGAAACCUCGAGGCUUAACCUCGAGCCUGCAUUUGAUACUGGGCGGCUAGAGUCUGGUAGGGGGAUCUGGAAUUCCUGGUGUAGCGGUGGAAUGCGCAGAUAUCAGGAGGAACACCGGUGGCGAAGGCGGGAUCCUGGGCCAGUACUGACGCUGAGGAGCGAAAGCGUGGGGAGCAAACAGG
rnacentral:rRNA from 1 species